GGAGGUAGUGACAAUAAAUCACAAUGCGGGACUUUUAGUUUUGCAAUUGGAUUGAGAACAAUGUAAAAGAGUUAUCGAUAAACAAUUGGAGGGCAAGUCUGGUGCCAGCAGCCGCGGUAAUUCCAGCUCCAAUAGCGUAUAUUAACGUUGUUGCAGUUAAAAAGCUCGUAGUUGAAGUGUGGGUGAUCGCUGUUGUGAGACUUCGGUCUCUCGACAGUAAGUCACCCCCUUCCAGUAUCCAGUAGUGGGUAUUCAGUUACUUACUACUGUGUGUUGGUCCUUUACUGUGAGAAAAUUAGAGUGUUCAAAGCAGGCGUUUGCUUGAAUAGAUUAGCAUGGAAUAAUAAUUGAAGGCUUUCGUGUUCGAUUUGAUUGGUUUGUUCAUGGAAGCAAGGUUAAAAGGAACAGUUGGGGGUAUUCAUAUUCACUAGUUAGAGGUGAAAUUCUCGGAUUUAUGGAAGAUGAACAAGUGCGAAAGCA
rnacentral:rRNA from 1 species